ACGCAUGCGUGAGGGCGAGCCGCAUUCCUGAACGUUAACCGGGAGCGGUAGCUGUCGCUUGGGAGGCAGGCAGUAUGACCCAGUAGCGAGGGCACGACAGGUACUUCCGAAUCGGGGAUUGAAGGCCCUGAAGACUGGGGCACGCGGAAAGAAUCUAGAAGCUCUGAGCAGUUGAAAAAAGCACUGGACUGAGAGUCAAGGACUCUGGGCUUUGCUGGUAGCCGUUCCACAGUAUUGAAGUCAGUGAAUAGUGCUUUGUAAAUUGCAAACAUUGUAGCAGGUAUCACCAAUUGUAUGCGUUCGACCAUGAUCUCUUGUUUUGAAAAGUUAUUUACCAAAUUAAGCAUAAUAAUAAUGGGAAAACAAAUCAUGCUUAAUCGGACCACAGCUCAGUUAAAACCUCCGUCUAACGUGAGUCUGAUAUGAUUUUCAGCACAAAACAAGGAAACCUGGCAGUUAAUACCACCAGAAGAUGGAAUUUAUGCCUAUCAAGUUCAGCUUUGUAUUCCCAGCGAAUUCAGCACGUAACACAAUUCCUGGCCUAUGAAAAGUCUCAGCUUCUAGAGGUCACCUGCAUUCCUUCGCUCACAGCCCCCUUCCUCCAUCACCAGCCCCAGCAGGGGACAUGGGUUCGAGCCCUGGUCCAGGAAGAUCCCACAUGCCGCAGAGCAACUAAGCCUGGGCACCACAACUACUCAGCCUGCACUCUAGAGCCCGCGAGCCACAACUACUGAGCCCACAUGCCACAACUACUGAAGCCUGCACACCUAGAGCCCGUGCGCUGCAACAAGAGAAGCCACCACGAGAAGCCCGUGCACCGCAACGAAGAGUAGCCCCCGCUUGCUGCAACUAGAGAAAGCCCGUGCACAGCAACGAAGACCCAACACAGCCAAAAAUAAAAACAAAUAAAUAAAUUAAAAACAAAAAGAGAUAGAGGAGCUUGCUGCCUUCUCUCUCCCUGCUCUCUGCCAUGUGAGAAUACAAGAAGACAACCAUCUACAAACCAGGAACUGGGCUCUUAUCAAACACCAAAUCUGCCAGCUCCUUGAUCUUGGAUUCCCAGUCUGCAGAAAUGUGAAAAAUAAAUGUUUGUUGUUUAAACCA